rnacentral:rRNA from 1 species
CACGUAGGGGGCAAGCGUUGUCCGGAUUUAUUGGGCGUAAAGAGCUCGUAGGCGGCUCAGUAAGUCAGGUGUGAAACCUCCAGGCUCAACCUGGAGACGCCACCUGAUACUGCUGUGGCUAGAGUCCGGUAGGGGAGCGUGGAAUUCCUGGUGUAGCGGUGAAAUGCGCAGAUAUCAGGAGGAACACCAAUAGCGAAGGCAGCUCGCUGGGACGGUAUUGACGCUAAGGCGCGAAAGCGUGGGGAGCAAACAGG